rnacentral:piRNA from 1 species
UACACAGUAAAUUAUUUUGAA